rnacentral:snoRNA from 1 species
CACUCCCAUUUCUGCCCCGGGAUCCUUACUACACCCCCACGGAUCACGGGUUCUAAUAGUGGAGAAGAAUAAGCCAUUGAUCGGCCGGUCUGCACACUAAACUGAUACAACCGCAGACUGCUCUCUUUCGAUGGAUCGUGGGAUUCCAUGUAUCGCUCUUGUAAUACAGAGUCACAAACUGAAAAAGCAUUCAUUAUUUAUUUUUGAAGAUGCUCUUCCAGGGGUACAGUUCCCUACAUAC